GACGAACGCUGGCGGCGUGCUUAACACAUGCAAGUCGAGCGGUAAGGCCCUUUCGGGGGUACACGAGCGGCGAACGGGUGAGUAACACGUGGGUGACCUGCCCUCAGCUCUGGGAUAAGCCUGGGAAACCGGGUCUAAUACUGGAUAUGACUCCAUGACGCAUGUUGUGGGGUGGAAAGCCUUGUGCGGCUGAGGAUGGGCCCGCGGCCUAUCAGCUUGUUGGUGGGGUGANGGCCUACCAAGGCGACGACGGGUAGCCGGCCUGAGAGGGCGACCGGCCACACUGGGACUGAGACACGGCCCAGACUCCUACGGGAGGCAGCAGUGGGGAAUCUUGCGCAAUGGGCGAAAAGCCUGACGCAGCGACGCCGCGUGAGGGAUGACGGCCUGGUGUAA
rnacentral:rRNA from 1 species